ACGGCACGAUAUGGACAUCGACGAUUGGUGACGCGAGAUUGAUGAACCAGUUAGGCAGAAAGGGCGUAAUCCGCAAAAAGAUAAUGUUUGGUAUAAGUGUGAGAGCGUCCGAGAUGAGACUGUACGAUGGAGGAUAUUGCGAUGCUACUACAAACGUCUUGCCAGCAAAAUGAAACAGGUAUCCAAGCCAAUAUUAGUCGACUACCAACGCUGUACGAGAUCAGGUAACUGAGAGAGGCGCCAAUGGCCGAGCAGAGACAAA